CAAGUAGCUGGGAUUACAGAUUCGUGCUACCACACCUGGCUCAUAUUUGUAUUUUUAGUAGAGAUGGGAUUUCACCAUGUUGGCCAGGCUGGUCUUGAACUCCUGACCUCAAGUGAUCCGCCUGCCUCGGACUCUCAAAGUGCUGAGAUUGCAGGUGUGAGCCACCAUGCCUGGGCUAACAGCUUUAUUUGAAAUACCUCAAACCUGAGAACAACUCAAAGGUUAAUCAACAGAUUAAUGGACAAACAAAUUGUGGUACAUCCAGACAACGAACUACUGCUUAACAAUCACAAUAACAACAACAACAAAAUGAAAUAUUGAGAUACAUAAAAACAUAGAUGAAUCUCAAAAUAAUUACGUUAAGUGCAAAAAGCCAGCUCCUCCAUGUAUAUACUGUAUGACUUCAUUUAUAUAAAAUUCUAGAAUAUGUAAGGUAAUCUAUAAUGAGAGAAAUAAGAUGCUGGCUACCUGAGGAUGGAGUUGGGGAGGAAGGAAAAAGAGGAAGGGAUUUCCAAGGGUGCUGAAUGUUAGGCUGAAACCUUAUCCCCAGUGCAUUAAUAUGAAGAGGUGCGGUCUCUGGGAGGGGAUUAGGUAGUGAGGGCUCUGUCCUCAUGUAGGGAUGAGUGCCCUUAUAAAAGAGGCCCAAAGGAGCUUCUGCCAUGUGAGGACACUGCAAAAAGGUGUCAUGUAUGAAGCAGGGAGCCCUCACCAGACACCAAAUCUGCUGGUGUCUUGAUUUUGGACUUCCCAGCCUCUGGAACUGUACAGCAGCUAGGACGGCGCAACAGGGAGUUCCAUGGAGAUUCUGGAAAGGGAUAUGGUGGACUAGGAACGGCCUGUUCCUGAAACCAGGUAAACCAGGGCUUUACUCCACGUCGGGUCCCAGAAUCGGGUGUAAAGACAGGGAAAGUGAUUCUGCGUGAGCCUUCUGGAGUCAGGGUUCCCGGAGUGUGUCCCCGGAAGGGGAGAGGAGCCCGAACCCGCCCUGCUGCUCUUUGGAAGGGAGCCCUGCCAUUUCCUUAGGCCGUGGCCUCCCUCCCUGGAAAGGGUGACACCCACCGGUUCCUGGUACCCGCAGGCUGCUUGCGGGGCGCCCCCAGCACCCCUCCCCGCCAGGAGCGCUCCCUGACACUCUCACGCCUUUUUACUUGUAUCGGGGUAAGACAUGGCACAGAAAAGUCCCCCUUUAUCCAGUCUGCGGUGCACGUUGUGAACAUCACAGCAAGGAACACAUGAGUUUUAAGUCAGA
rnacentral:lncRNA from 1 species